AGCUUGCUCUUUCCAAUAUGGAAGAAGCUUGGGAUGAGCUGAUUAAAUCCUGGAGAGUACAGAACCUCAAGCUGUGUCAGGCACGGGACCUGCAGACUUUUUUAAGUAUUGUCGAUCAAAGUGAGAGUUGGCUGAACAGUAAAGAAACAUUCUUAGCCAAUGAAGAUCUAGGGGACUCCGUGGCUAGUGUGGAAAGUCUUC